rnacentral:rRNA from 1 species
ACGAACGCUGGCGGCGUGCUUAACACAUGCAAGUCGAACGGAAAGGCCCUGCUUUUGUGGGGUGCUCGAGUGGCGAACGGGUGAGUAACACGUGAGUAACCUGCCCUUGACUUUGGGAUAACUUCAGGAAACUGGGGCUAAUACCGGAUAGGAGCUCCUGCUGCAUGGUGGGGGUUGGAAAGUUUCGGCGGUUGGGGAUGGACUCGCGGCUUAUCAGCUUGUUGGUGGGGUAGUGGCUUACCAAGGCUUUGACGGGUAGCCGGCCUGAGAGGGUGACCGGCCACAUUGGGACUGAGAUACGGCCCAGACUCCUACGGGAGGCAGCCGUGGGGAAUAUUGCACAAUGGGCGGAAGCCUGAUGCAGCAACGCCGCGUGCGGGAUGACGGCCUUCGGGUUGUAAACCGCUUUCGCCUGUGACGAAGCGUGAGUGACGGUAAUGGGUAAAGAAGCACCGGCUAACUACGUG